UACGAGGGGGGCGAGCGUUGUUCGGAAUUAUUGGGCGUAAAGGGCGCGUAGGCGGUGCGGUAAGUCACCUGUGAAACCUCUGGGCUCAACUCAGAGCCUGCAGGCGAAACUGCCGUGCUGGAGUGUGGGAGAGGUGCGUGGAAUUCCCGGUGUAGCGGUGAAAUGCGCAGAUAUCGGGAGGAACACCGGUGGCGAAGGCGGUUCUCUGGGCCUUACCUGACGCUGGAGGAGCGAAAGCGUGGGGAGCGAACAGG
rnacentral:rRNA from 1 species